CGGCCUAUCAGCUUGUUGGUGGGGUGAUGGCCUACCAAGGCGACGACGGGUAGCCGGCCUGAGAGGGUGACCGGCCACACUGGGACUGAGAUACGGCCCAGACUCCUACGGGAGGCAGCAGUGGGGAAUAUUGCACAAUGGGCGCAAGCCUGAUGCAGCGACGCCGCGUGAGGGAUGACGGCCUUCGGGUUGUAAACCUCUUUCAGCACAGACGAAGCGCAAGUGACGGUAUGUGCAGAAGAAGGACCGGCCAACUACGUGCCAGCAGCCGCGGUAAUACGUAGGGUCCGAGCGUUGUCCGGAAUUACUGGGCGUAAAGAGCUCGUAGGUGGUUUGUCGCGUUGUUCGUGAAAACUCACAGCUUAACUGUGGGCGUGCGGGCGAUACGGGCAGACUAGAGUAC
rnacentral:rRNA from 1 species